GAGUGAAUUUCUGUCAAAGAAAAAGUAGAUUUUGUAUGAGAUUUGACAGAAAAAUGAAUGACAAGUUCAUCCACUUCUCCUGGCCUAUGUGAGAGGGAGAGAGUUUUAUCUUUCUCUCAAUUUUCUCUGCGUGUGUUGUUUUUUUUUCCUUUCGCUUGAUUCGAACUGUGUUUGAGGUGAGAGUGACAGUUUGCUUUUCUCACCACACCGCCACGGCACCACAUAUCAUUCACCGCUCCUGCUGGGCCAUUCACCACACACCAUUCCGUCAAUAGUGGCGGUGCGAAGCGAGCUAGUCGCUGAAGCGCUUUAACCUUUCUGACAUUGAAACUGCUCGCGUUUGGCGAAGCAUUCACUCCUCUCUGUGAAUCGGUUGCGUUUUCAUAUCCAGAUACCGGGAACGGAUGGUUUAGUUAAUCGUGGAGUUGUCUAAUCGGUGAACGAAAUUUGUGUGGUUUCUGUUCUGCGAAUCAAUUAUUUUUUGAUCGGGAAACGCAAGAAGACGGAGGUGGCUGAGUAGGAAGAAAAUUAAUUGUU